UACGAAGGGGGCUAGCGUUGCUCGGAAUGACUGGGCGUAAAGGGCGCGUAGGCGGUUUGGACAGUCAGAUGUGAAAUCCCUGGGCUCAACCUGGGGGCUGCAUUUGAUACGUUCGGACUAGAGUGGGGAAGAGGGUCGUGGAAUUCCCAGUGUAGAGGUGAAAUUCGUAGAUAUUGGGAAGAACACCGGUGGCGAAGGCGGCGACCUGGGACAAUACUGACGCUGAGGUGCGAAAGCGUGGGGAGCAAACAGG
rnacentral:rRNA from 1 species